rnacentral:rRNA from 1 species
UUGGAGGGCAAGUCUGGUGCCAGCAGCCGCGGUAAUUCCAGCUCCAAUAGCGUAUAUUAAAGUUGUUGCAGUUAAAAAGCUCGUAAUUGAAUUUCGGGAUCAAUGUUUCGGUCAUGCCGUUGGUAUGUACUGAUAUUAUUGAUUUCUCACCUUCUAAAGAACCGUAAUGCCAUUAAUUUGGUGUCACGGGGAAUUAGGACUGUUACCUUGAAAAAAUUAGAGUGUUUAAAGCAGGCUCACGCUUGAAUACAUUAGCAUGGAAUAAUGAAAUAGGACAUCCGAUUCUAUUUUGUUGGUUUCUAGGAUCGAUGUAAUGAUUAAUAGGGAUAGUUGGGGGCAUUAGUAUUCAAUUGUCAGAGGUGAAAUUCUUGGAUUUAUUGAAGACUAACUACUGCGAAAGCAUUUGCCAAGGAUGUUUUCAUUAACCAAGAACGAAAGUUAGGGGAUCGAAGACGAUCAGAUACCGUCGUAGUCUUAACCAUAAACUAUGCCGACUAGGGAUCGGAUGAUGUUAAUUUUUUAAUGACUCAUUCGGCGCCUUACGGGAAAC